rnacentral:rRNA from 1 species
GACGAACGCUGGCGGCGUGCUUAACACAUGCAAGUCGAACGGAAAGGCCCUGCUUUUGUGGGGUGCUCGAGUGGCGAACGGGUGAGUAACACGUGAGUAACCUGCCCUUGACUUUGGGAUAACUUCAGGAAACUGGGGCUAUUACCAGAUAGGAGCUCCUGCUGCAUGGUGGGGGUUGGAAAGUUUCGGCGGUUGGGGAUGGACUCGCGGCUUAUCAGCUUGUUGGUGGGGUAGUGGCCUACCAAGGCUUUGACGGGUAGCCGGCCUGAGAGGGUGACCGGCCACAUUGGGACUGAGAUACGGCCCAGACUCCUACGGGAGGCAGCAGUGGGGAAUAUUGCACAAUGGGCGGAAGCCUGAUGCAGCAACGCCGCGUGCGGGAUGACGGCCUUCGGGUUGUAAACCGCUUUCGCCUGUGACGAAGCGUGAGUGACGGUAAUGGGUAAAGAAGCACCGGCUAACUACGU